rnacentral:rRNA from 1 species
AACAAGGAUUCCCCUAGUAACUGCGAGUGAAGAGGGAUGAGCUCAAAUUUUGAAUCUGGCGGUCCUUGCGGCCGUCCGAGUUGUAAUCUAGAGAAGCGUUUUCCGCGCUGGACCGUGUACAAGUCUCCUGGAAGGGAGCGUCAUAGAGGGUGAGAAUCCCGUCUUUGACACGGACUGCCAGGGCUUUUGUGAUGCGCUCUCGACGAGUCGAGUUGUUUGGGAAUGCAGCUCAAAUUGGGUGGUAAAUUCCAUCUAAAGCUAAAUACAGGCGAGAGACCGAUAGCGAACAAGUACCGUGAGGGAAAGAUGAAAAGAACUUUGGAAAGAGAGUUAAACCGUACGUGAAAUUGCUGAAAGGGAAACGCUUGAGGUCAGUCGCGUCGCCCGGGGAUCAACCUUGCUUUUCGCUGGGUGUAUUUCCUGGUCGAUGGGUCAGCAUCAGUUUCGAUCGCCGUACAAGGGCGGAGGGAACGUGGCACUCUUCGGAGUGUGUUAUAGCCUUUCGUCGUAUGCGGUGGCUGGGACUGAGGAACUCAGCACGACCCCUUCGAGGGUUCGGGGCUUCGGCCUACGUACGUGCUUAGGAUGCUGGCAUAAUGGCCUUAAGCGACCCGUCUUGAAACACGGACCAAGGAGUCUAACAUGCCUGCGAGUGUUUGGGUGGAAAACUCGAGCGCGUAAUGAAAGUGAAAGUCGAGACCUCUGUCGUGGAGGGCAUCGACGCCCGGACCUGAGUCUUUGACGACGGAUCUGCGGUAGAGCAUGUAUGUUGGGACCCGAAAGAUGGUGAACUAUGCCUGAAUAGGGUGAAGCCAGAGGAAACUCUGGUGGAGGCUCGUAGCGAUUCUGACGUGCAAAUCGAUCGUCGAAUUUGGG